GACGAACGCUGGCGGCGUGCUUAACACAUGCAAGUCGAACGGGCCCGCCCCUGUUUUUGGGGGUGGGUUGAGUGGCGAACGGGUGAGUAUCCCGUGAGUAACCUGCCCCCUGCUCCUGGAUAACUGCUUGAAAGGGCGGCUAAUACGGGGUGUGCCGGCUGGUCCGCAUGGGCCUGGUCGGGAUAGUUUCAUCUUCGGGUGUUUCGGUGGGGGAUGGGCUCGCGGCCUAUCAGCUUGUUGGUGGGGUGAUGGCCAACCAAGGCGGUGACGGGUAGCCGGCCUGAGAGGGUGGGCGGCCACACUGGGACUGAGACACGGCCCAGACUCCUGCGGGAGGCAGCAGUGGGGGGUAUUGCACAAUGGGCGGAAGCCUGAGGCAGCGACGUCGCGUGAGGGAGGGAGGCCUUCGGGUUGUGAACCUCUUUCUCCGGUGGUGAAGGCCCUGUCCGUUGCGGCGGGGUUGACGGUAGCCGGGUAUGAAGCGCCGGCUAACUACGUG
rnacentral:rRNA from 1 species